rnacentral:rRNA from 1 species
ACGCUCGACACCUACGGGAGCCAGCAGUGGGGAAUAUUGCACAAUGGGGGAAACCCUGAUGCAGCGACGCCGCGUGAGCGAAGAAGUAUUUCGGUAUGUAAAGCUCUAUCAGCAGGGAAGAUAAUGACGGUACCUGACUAAGAAGCUCCGGCUAAAUACGUGCCAGCAGCCGCGGUAAUCUGAGCGGGCUGGCAAGGC